AGUGAACGCUGGCGGUAGGCCUAACACAUGCAAGUCGAACGGCAGCACAGUAAGAGCUUGCUCUUACGGGUGGCGAGUGGCGGACGGGUGAGGAAUACAUCGGAAUCUACUUUUUCGUGGGUGAUAACGUAGGGAAACUUACGCUAAUACCGCAUACGACCUACGUUUGAAAUCAUGGGAUCUUCGUACCUUGCGCGAUUGAAUGAGCCGAUGUCGGAUUAGCUAGUUGGCGGGGUAAAGGCCCACCAAGGCGACGAUCCGGAGCUGGUCUGAGAGGAUGAUCAGCCACACUGGAACUGAGACACGGUCCAGACUCCUACGGGAGGCAGCAGUGGGGAAUAUUGGACAAUGGGCGAAAGCCUGAUCCAGCCAUACCGCGUGGGUGAAGAAGGCCUUCGGGUUGUAAAGCCCUUUUGUUGGGAAAGAAAAGCAGCAGGUUAAUACCCCGCUGUUCUGACGGUACCCAAAGAAUAAGCACCGGCUAACUUCGUG
rnacentral:rRNA from 1 species